rnacentral:rRNA from 1 species
CAGCCGCCGCGGGAACACGUAGGGUGCAAGCGUUAAUCGGAAUUACUGGGCGUAAAGCGUGCGCAGGCGGUUAUAUAAGACAGAUGUGAAAUCCCCGGGCUCAACCUGGGAACUGCAUUUGUGACUGUAUAGCUAGAGUACGGCAGAGGGGGAUGGAAUUCCGCGUGUAGCAGUGAAAUGCGUAGAUAUGCGGAGGAACACCGAUGGCGAAGGCAAUCCCCUGGGCCUGUACUGACGCUCAUGCACGAAAGCGUGGGGAGCAAACAGGAUUAGAUACCCCCGUAGUCCCUGUCUCUUAUAA